GGGGAUGGCACCUUGUGCAGAGAGGGUCUGAACGAGCCCUAGGUGAGUGGCUCCUGUAGAUGCUGUGGCGGUGCAGGAAGCAGGUCUAAGGCACAGGUGUUCCCUGCACCCGAGACCCUGCCCACCCGCAUCUGUGACGUACAGCAGCAUUUCUGUUGGUGGUGAGAUUGUGUGAAAGGCCGACCACACGACCUUGGGCCGUGAGAUCUGGUGCAGGGCUGUGGACUCUGUGAGGAGUUCCUGUCCAGCUCUGCUACAGUGGACAGGCUCCUUCCACUGAGGCCUUGGCUUUCUCCACUCCAUAAUGGGGGACGUGAACCCUGCGUACCUCACUGGGAGGACUGAACAGGUUCACCCAGACAAAGCCCAGGCGCACCCAGGCUCUCAGCGUGUGAACUCAGCAGACUCUGAAGCUCAUCUCAAGCCCCAACUCCUUGCAGGCUGGAAAGCCGUGUACUGGGCAGGGUCUGCUGGAGUCUGACACCAGGUGCCUGACCACAGACGAGACGUCAAGGCCCGGAGCCCUCACCAGAGAUUCUGUCCUUGCUGACAGGGUGACGGGGCAGAGGAGCCGGCUGUGCCCUCCCUCUCUGCACCACUAGAUGAUCUCUUUUCCCUACCUACCUGCGGCAAUUUCCCCAGUGACUUUUGGCACCAAAACAGAGAAUGUUAAGUCUUAGGAUAUUGGUUUAAGUGCUGCUUUGAGACGAGGUCAUUAGUAGUAGUUUGCUCAGUCAGAUCUUAGUUCAGUGCUUGGUGCCAGAGGUCCAGGAGACCUCACUGUCUACUAUGAGGUGUUGAGCAGAUGGAUAUGGUGGCCGUCGUGCCAAGCGCCGUUGGAGAACAGGCUGUCUGACCCGGGCGUGA
rnacentral:lncRNA from 1 species